rnacentral:rRNA from 1 species
AUUGAACGCUGGCGGCAGGCCUAACACAUGCAAGUCGAACGGUAACAGGAAGAAGCUUGCUUCUUUGCUGACGAGUGGCGGACGGGUGAGUAAUGUCUGGGAAACUGCCUGAUGGAGGGGGAUAACUACUGGAAACGGUAGCUAAUACCGCAUAACGUCGCAAGACCAAAGAGGGGGACCUUCGGGCCUCUUGCCAUCGGAUGUGCCCAGAUGGGAUUAGCUUGUUGGUGGGGUAACGGCUCACCAAGGCGACGAUCCCUAGCUGGUCUGAGAGGAUGACCGGCCACACUGGAACUGAGACACGGUCAAGACUCCUACGGGAGGCAGCAGUGGGGAAUAUUGCACAAUGGGCGCAAGCCUGAUGCAGCCAUGCCGCGUGUAUGAAGAAGGCCUUCGGGUUGUAAAGUACUUUCAGCGGGGAGGAAGGGAGUAAAGUUAAUACCUUUGCUCAUUGACGUUACCCGCAGAAGAAGCACCGGCUAACUCCGUG